UCCUUCUCCCUAUCUAUUGUUACAUUAAUUGUCCUUUUGUUAAAUAGUAAUAAUAAUAAUAAUAAAACUGGUGCUUCCACCAAUUACAAACCAACAAGUCUCCUUCCCAAUGGAUUGCUUUUUAGGUUUCAAAUUGAGGGAGGACUAAGAAUAUGCUCUCUUGUGGCUGCUGGCUUUCUCCUUUUCCUUUCUAUUGCCAUCCCCCAGUGUCCCACAAUGGUCACUAUCCGGAAAGUAGGAAUUGCUGCGCCUUCCACAAUGGGAUAGUCGGCCUUGUUUAAGGCCACUUCCAAACAAGAAGUAGGUGGGAAGAACCGGGAAGGACGCGACGUAGCCAAGGCUCAACCACUUCCU
rnacentral:lncRNA from 1 species